AUUGAACGCUGGCGGCAGGCUUAACACAUGCAAGUCGAACGAGUGGCGGACGGGUGAGUAAUGCUUGGGAAUCUGGAUUAUGGCGGGGGAUAACGACGGGAAACUGUCGCUAAUACCGUGUUCCAUAGGAUGAGCCCAAGUGGGAUUCGGUAGUUGGUGGGGUAAAGGCCUACCAAGCUGACGAUCUCUAGCUGGUCUUAGAGGCUGCCCAGCCACAGCGGGACUGAGAGACGGCCCGGACUCCGACGGGAGGCAGCAGUGGGGAAUAUUGCGCAAUGGGGGCAACCCUGACGCAGCCAUGCCGCGUGAAUGAAGAAGGCCUUCGGGUUGUAAAGUUCUUUCGGUAGUGAGGCGUUAGAUACAGAGGAAGCACCGGCUAACUCCGUGCCAGCAGCCGCGGUAAUUC
rnacentral:rRNA from 1 species